UACGGAGGGUGCAAGCGUUAAUCGGAAUUACUGGGCGUAAAGCGUGCGCAGGCGGUUUGUUAAGUCUGCUGUGAAAUCCCCGAGCUCAACUUGGGAAUUGCAGUGGAUACUGGCAAGCUGGAGUACGGUAGAGGAAGGUGGAAUUCCCGGUGUAGCAGUGAAAUGCGUAGAGAUCGGGAGGAACACCAGUGGCGAAGGCGGCCUUCUGGACCAGCACUGACACUCAAGCACGAAAGCGUGGGGAGCAAACAGG
rnacentral:rRNA from 1 species